rnacentral:rRNA from 1 species
AUUGAACGCUGGCGGCAGGCCUAACACAUGCAAGUCGAGCGAGAGGCGGACGGGAGAGUAAUGUAUGGGGACUGCCCGAUAGAGGGGGAUAACUACUGGAAACGGUAGCUAAUACAGAAUACUAUCGGAUAACCCAUAUGGGAGUAGCUAGUAGGUGAGGUAAUGGCUCACCUAGGCGACGAUCCCUAGCUGGGCUGCGAGGAUGAUCAGCCACACUGGGACUGAGCAACGGCCCAGACUCCUACGGAGGCAGCAGUGGGGAAUAUUGCACAAUGGGCGAAAGCCUGAUUCAGCCAUGCCGCGUGUAUUAAGAAGGCCCUAGGGUUGUAAAGUACUUUCAGUCGGGAGGCGUUACCGACAGAAGAAGCACCGGCUAACUCCGUGCCAGCGGCCGCGGUAAUUC